CAAAAACGUAUUCGGUAUCAUGCUCUGUCAUGUUUUGUGCUAAUUUUGACAAUACAGUAAAUACAUUUAGAAGAACAGUACAUCAUUCUGAAGACGAAGUGGCAGUAAAGCUGUUCCUCGUAAGGAAGAAUGGCACCGGGUCAGGACACACAGCUGGAGAAAGUCAUCGAUGAGGUGUUAAAGAGUGGGGAUGUCCAUGCACUGGCUGUAUUCUUGCAAAGGGACAUAUAUGAAGGGACCCCCAUGAAAUGUUCCAAACAGUUUCUCUCCAAAUUGGAUAGACUUGUCUGCAGGUGCUUGGAUCAGAAAGAUUCCAUAUCAGCCAGUUUGGGUCUUACUGUGGUCUACAAAUGUGGGGAAAAACUGAAACUACCUGGUGUCGGUCAAGGAAUGUCAGGAGUAAUAUGUCAAGGCCUGAUCCA